rnacentral:rRNA from 1 species
GCGUGUAGGCGGCUGGGUAGGUCCGUUGUGAAAACUCGAGGCUCAACCUCGAGACGCCGAUGGAAACCCCCCGGCUAGAGUCCGGAAGAGGAGAGUGGAAUUCCUGGUGUAGCGGUGAAAUGCGCAGAUAUCAGGAAGAACACCCGUGGCUAAGGCGGCUCUCUAGUACGGUACUGACGCUGAGACGCGAAAGCGUGGGGAGCGAACAGGAUUAGAUACCCUGGUAGUCCACGCCGUAAACGAUGGGUGCUAGGUGUAGGGGGUGUCGACUCCCUCUGUGCCGAAGCUAACGCAUUAAGCACCCCGCCUGGGGAGUACGGCCGCAAGGCUAAAACUCAAAGGAAUUGACGGGGGCCCGCACAAGCGGUGGAGCAUGUGGUUUAAUUCGACGCAACGCGAAGAACCUUACCAGCUCUUGACAUGCCCGGUCUGGGUGGGAUAGAUCCUAUUGUC